rnacentral:rRNA from 1 species
GAUGAACGCUGGCGGCGUGCUUAACACAUGCAAGUCGAACGGAAAGGCCCGGCUCUUGUGGCUUGCUCGAUUGGCGAACGGGGGAGUAACACGUGAGUAACCUGCCCCUGUAUUUGUGAUAUCUUCACGGGACUGGGGCUAAUACCCGAUAUAAUCUCUUGCUGCAUGGGGUGGGUUGGAGAGUUUCGGCGGUUGUGGAUGGUUUCGCUGCUUAUCCGCUAGUUGGUGGGGUAGUGGCUUACCAAGGGUUUGACGGGUAGCCUGCCUGAGAGGGUGACCGGGCACAUUGGGCCUGCGGUAGGGACCAGACUCCUACGGGAGGCAGCAGUGGGGAGUAUUGCAGAGUGGGCGGACGCGUGAUGCAGAGACGCCGGGUGCGGGAUGCCGGCCUUCGGGGUAUAAACCACUUUGGCAGGUGCUGAAGAGUGCGUGACGGUACUGGGUAAAAAAGCAACGGCUAACUACGUG